UUAUAUUGUUGUGGUUUCUUUUACUAAGAACCAUCUCCUAAACAACCUUGGGACCUGUCAAUAACAGUGCUCAUGAGCUAUGUUUCAAGUAGCUAAUCUCUCUUUAGCCCUUUUGCAACAUAGGAAACAUGACUUCAGGUCUAUGGGAAGGCUCUGCCCAACCAGAAUGUGGUCUUUGUGACACUUAUCUUACCAUUGUAAAUUAAGUACAAUUUCUCUUUGUUUCUUUUUUAGGGGACUGGGGGCGGGGCUAGA
rnacentral:lncRNA from 1 species